GCCCUCGGUGGCUCAGAUGGAUAGAGCGUCUGCCAUGUAAGCAGGAGACCAUGGGUUCGAGUCCCGUUCAGGGCA